CUUCUCUCCAGUUUGCUCCUAACUGCCUGCACUUUCACCUCGCUUCUGGGCACUGCUCCCGGGCUCUGGCGGUGCUUUGGCCCCAUGUCCAGGGAGCCUGACCCGCCUGGUGGCUGUGAUUCCCUGGGACAGCCCCUGGGUGACCACUGUGAGUCUGAGCUCUUGCCUUGGGGCAGGACGAACUGGGUGCUCCUCAGACCCAGAUCCGGCUGAGGCUGGGAUAUUGGCUCGAGUGACACCUGGGCUUGGCUUCCUUCCCUGCCCUGUCCUGUCUCCCCUGUGCAGCCUCCCCUGAAGCGCGGGUCUACAAACCUCAUCCCAGGACCCGUUUCUAGGAGACAGUGAGGCUAAGACCCAGUGCCUGCCCGAUGCAUUAACAGAUGGAAUCCUCCUGAGGACCCUAGGAAGCAGGGAGAAACUCUCCACGGGUGCUGAGAUGUCUUUGACACCUCGCUGAGUAAGGUUGGCAGAGCUUCCUUCACAACAGCCGGAAACGGUUUCCAUUGAAAACCUUCCUCAGGCAGCAGGACAGAAAGCAGACUUGGGUGACACCUUUUGUUUCUCUGUGUUCACUUUCACCAUCACCUACUCUUCCGGCGCAUCCUGCAGCUCCGUGACCAGCAAGCCUCGAAACUGUCAAGGUCACCUGCCUCGAAACUGUCAAGGUCAUCAAAUCAAAACCAAGGUGAUCAGAGAAGGUUUCUUUGAGGGUGACAUUUGAGCAAAGACGUGAAUAAAGAGACAGUUGGAGCCAUGUGGAGAUGUGAGGAGGAGGGUUCCAGGCCAGGGGACCCGUACGUGCCAAGGCCCUGAGAGCACACAAUUUAACCCAGGACAGCAGGGAGACAGCACCCCAGGCCGAGUGAAGGGGAGGACCGCACAGGCAAACGCUGGCCUGGCGAGGCACCAGAGGCUGUAGAGGAAAGCGCCUCCCACCUGUGAGAUGCCAACAAGAUACCCAGGGUCUGAAGAGUCUUAAAAGAAAAGCAAGGAGCGGGGGUAUGAUAUCCGACCAAAGAGCAAACGCCCGAGCCACUUGGCACUGCACUCUAACUGGGAGGCUGAGCACACAAAUUAGAUGUUUGUAAGAAUAAACAGUCAUUAGAACUCGAGAACUAGAGGAGAAAUAAACAUCAUUUCAAGAUAUUUGACUAAUUUGGCUCUGAGCUCUGCCUGCCUGUGAAUGUGCUGGUUUCUGGCUUGCGGGGAUGCCUGUGUAUCUGUGCAUGCUUCUUGUUAGCCCUCUUGGUUACGUGUCCUUACUGAGUGCCAAAGUCUCCUCUGUAAAAUGGGGAUAACAGCAACACCCAACUCAAGGGUGUUGGGAGAGUGGAACAAGGAAAUACACACAAAUUGAUUAAAACAGAGCCUGGCACCUAUAGUAAGUGCUCAAGAAAUGUGAGCAAUACUCUACAUUUGCUCACAUAUUCAUUCGUUCAGCAAAUAUGCAGAGGGUCCCAGCCAGGGGAGGCCCUGUUCCUAGUGUUAGGGAUCAAAAGACAGUGAGAUUCCUCGUGCCAGCUGAUGCCAGGCACACGGUGGGCGCCCAGGAACAGAUUUUUGAAGAAUGAAUGUAUGGGGCAUGGACUUUGCCUUCAAGAGCUGUGGCCUGGGGAGGAGACAGACUUGUAAAUAAAUCACUGCAAACACUGUCAUGAUAAAUGCAAAGCAGUUCCAGCUAUAAAUUUCACCUAAAGUACAGUAAAAGGACCGGCCCUGAUGGUGGAAUUUCAGAGACAGAGGCCAAGGCAGGGAACAGUGCUGCGGGAAUGAGGCCCUCUUAGAUGCUUUGAAAUUGUACCAGGAAGACCACAGCCCCUGAACCCAGUUCAGAGUGGAGACAGCAGGGCAGGGAAGCCCUCACACCGUGGAUGAUGACAGGUACACACUUUGGAGGACUCAGGCCACUGGGCUGGAUGACCCUGGCCAUCCCCCUGCCUCAGGGCCCAUGGCCC
rnacentral:lncRNA from 10 species